UUCUCAUACGCAUAACUCAUUCAUUACAUCAUUUCACAGCAUACGCAUGCAUACAACAUUCGCAUUUAUUUUCGAAAGCAUAAAACAUCUCAUGCAUCAUGACAUAGCAUAAAGCUAACUUUUCUUUGCAGGUUAAUUAUCCUCCUGAUAUAGUCAAAGUAAAAGGCUCAUUCAGGCAGACGCCUUUAUCAAUCACAGACAAGAUUCAGAUACAUAUUC
rnacentral:lncRNA from 1 species